rnacentral:rRNA from 1 species
GUAGGGAGCAAACGUUGUCCGGAUUUAUUGGGCGUAAAGGGCUCGUAGGCGGUUCAACAAGUCGGUCGUGAAAACCCGGGGCUCAACCCCGGGACGCCGGUCGAAACUGUUGUGACUAGAGUUCGGUAGAGGUGAGUGGAAUUCUCGGUGUAGCGGUGGAAUGCGCAGAUAUCGAGAGGAACACCAUUAGCGAAGGCGGCUCACUGGGCCGAUACUGACGCUGAGGAGCGAAAGCGUGGGGAGCAAACAGGAUUAGAUACCCUGGGUAGUCCACGCCGUAAACGAUGAACACUAGGUGUGGCGGACUGACUCAUGUCGGCUGCGCCGUAGCUAACGCAUUAAGCGUUCCGCCUGGGGAGUACGGCCGCAAGGCUA